rnacentral:misc_RNA from 1 species
AUUAUAAAAUGCAUAUACUUCAAGUAUUAUAUUGUCUUUUUAAGUUAAAAAAAAAACUAAGUUUUGAUAUAUUUUUUAAUAAACAAUUUUAAUUAUGUAUGCAUAUUAUGAAUAGAACAAAUGCAUCUUAAAUUCAAAAUUAAAUUAUUUAUAAAGUUAUGCAUGAGCUGAUUUAUGAGCCUAUAAAUGAGCAAACUCACAUGCUGAGCUUUACUUGUUUAAGCCUGGCUCAUUUAUCAAUUGAGCCUUAAUUGAGCUUUUAUCAAAAUAGAGUUUUUAGCAGCUUACUAGUAGCUAUGCUCACUUGCAACCAUAGUUAUUAAUGGUGCAAGGUGCACCAAGGCACCAAUGGUCUUGGAGCCUAGGCGUAAGGUGCAAGGCGCAAGUGUGCGCCUGAGUGAGGUGAGGCGCAA